ensembl:snoRNA
UGUAUCAGUGAUGAUAACUUGGCUCCCUCUACUGAACUUUGUGAGGAGAUUGCCUCUGUUACCCAAAUUCUGUCUGAGGUACA